UACGGGGGGUGCGAGCGUUAUUCGGAAUUAUUGGGCGUAAAGGGCGCGCAGGCGGUUCCGCAAGUCGGCUGUGAAAGCCCGGGGCUUAACCCCGGAAGAGCAGUUGAAACUGCGGGACUUGAGUAUGGGAGAGGAAGGCGGAAUUCCUGGUGUAGCGGUGAAAUGCGUAGAUAUCAGGAGGAACACCGGUGGCGAAGGCGGCCUUCCGGACCAAUACUGACGCUGAGGUGCGAGGGCGCGGGGAGCAAACAGGAUUAGAUACCCUGGUAGUCCGCGCAGUAAACGGUGAUCACUUGGUGUGGCGGGUAUUUACCCCUGCCGUGCCGCAGCAAACGUGUUAAGUGAUCCGCCUGGGAAGUACGAUCGCAAGAUUAAA
rnacentral:rRNA from 1 species